UACGUAGGGUGCGAGCGUUGUCCGGAAUUAUUGGGCGUAAAGAGCUCGUAGGCGGUCUGUCGCGUCGGAUGUGAAAGCCCGGGGGCUUAACUCCGGGUCUGCAUUCGAUACGGGCAGACUAGAGUGUGGUAGGGGAGAUCGGAAUUCCUGGUGUAGCGGUGAAAUGCGCAGAUAUCAGGAGGAACACCGGUGGCGAAGGCGGAUCUCUGGGCCAUUACUGACGCUGAGGAGCGAAAGCGUGGGGAGCGAACAGG
rnacentral:rRNA from 1 species